AGGUCCCUACGGGGGGCAGCAGUGAGGAAUAUUGGUCAAUGGGCGCGAGCCUGAACCAGCCAAGUCGCGUGAGGGAAGACGGUCCUAUGGAUUGUAAACCUCUUUUGUCGGGGAGCAAAAGACGCCACGUGUGGCGUUCCGAGAGUACCCGAAGAAAAAGCAUCGGCUAACACCGUGCCAGCAGCCGCGGUAAUACGGAGGAUGCGAGCGUUAUCCGGAUUUAUUGGGUUUAAAGGGUGCGCAGGCGGAAGAGCAAGUCAGCGGUAAAAUUGAGAGGCUCAACCUCUUCGAGCCGUUGAAACUGG
rnacentral:rRNA from 1 species